UGCACCCACUGAGUUUCUCCAGCACUUUUGUCUACCUUUGAUUUUCCAGCAUCUGCAGUUCCUUCUUAAAAUCAAGAGGGUACAGCACCACUUGAAAAGGAGUAUGAAGCAGGCAAAAGGGGACUAUAAAAGGAAGCUGGAGAAGAAACUGCAGUACAACAACAUCAAAGAAGUGUGGAGAGGAAUGAACACCAUCACUGGCUUCAAGGAGAAGGGAAGCCAGCCGUCAGGAGACGUCGACAAGGCCAAAGAGUUUAACCUGUUCUAUAACAGGUUUGAUCUGGUAUCCCCUCCCACCUCUACAGGUGCAGCACCUCCUAUGCCGGCAUCUCCUCAACUGUUCUUCACGGCGGACGAGGUGAGAGUUGAGCUGAGGAGGUUGCACCCUGGUAAAGCAGCUGGCCCUGAUGGUGUAUGCCCCAGGCUACUAAAAGACUGUGCAGCUCAGCUGGCGGAGCCGAUCCAGAUCAUUUUCAACCUGAGCCUCCAGUCAGGGAGGGUACCAGGUCUGUGGAAAACAUCAUGUCUCGUGCCGGUUCCCAAAGCAGGGCGGCCGACCGAGAUUAACGACUACAGACCGGUGGCCCUUACAUCCCAUAUCAUGAAAACAAUGGAGCGGCUACUCAUUCGUCUCCUGAGACCACAAGUCCAGCACGCACUCGACCCACUACAGUUUGCAUACCAGGAGAACAUCGGGGUGGAUGACGCAGUCCUCUACAUGCUGUACCGGAUCUACUCCUUUUUGGACAAACCCGGUGGCUAUGUGAGGAUUAUGUUCUUCGACUUCUCAAGUGCGUUCAACACCAUCCAACCCCAGAUUCUGAAUGACAAGCUUAAGAAGAUGGGGGUGGAUUCCACACUUAUCUCCUGGAUAGACGACUACCUGACGGGUCGACCACAGUUUGUCAAGCUGGAGGACAGUGUCUCUGGCACAGUGGUGUGCAAUGUUGGUGCCCCACAGGGAACGGUUCUGGCCCCGUUCCUCUUCACCCUGUAUACAGCAGACUUUAACUAUAAGUCUGACACAUGCCACGUACAGAAAUAUUCAGAUGAUACAGCGAUUGUGGCAUGUGUAAGGAACGGGCAGGAGGAGGAAUACAGGAACUUGACCAGUUCCUUUUGUGCCUGGAGUGAAGAGAACUGUCUCAUCCUGAACACAACUAAGACUAAAGAGAUGGUGGUUAACUUUGGCAGGUCCAAGCUCCCCCUUCAGCCGGUCAACGCUGCAGGGGCUGACAUUGAGGUGGUGCAGACAUAUAAAUACCUUGGAGUGCACCUCGAUAACAAACUGGACUGGUCUGUCAACUCUGACUCCCUACAAAAAAGGCCAGAGCAGACUCUUUUUCCUCAGAAGGCUCAAAUCCUUCAAUGUGUGUUCCAGGACAAGGGGUCACAGCUUAAGGAUAAAGGGGAAAUCCUUUAAAACCGAGAUGAGAAGAACUUUUUUCACACAGAGAGUGGUGAAUCUCUGGAACUCUCUGCCACAGAGGGUAGUUGAGGCCAGUUCAUUGGCUAUAUUUAAGAGGGAGUUAGAUGUGGCCCUUGUGGCUAAGGGGAUCAGGGGGUAUGGAGAGAAGGCAGGUACGGGAUACUGAGUUGGAUGAUCAGCCAUGAUCAUAUUGAAUGGCGGUGCAGGCUUGAAGGGCCGAAUGGCCUACUCCUGCACCUAUUUCUAUGUUUCUAUGUUUCUAUGUAAUGGCAUGCUGCACAUGUUUUACAACACUGUGGUUGCAAGUGUUAUUUUCUACACUGUUGUCUGCUGGGGCAACAGCAUUAGUGCAAAAAACAACAAGAAGCUGGUCAAACUGGUUAAACGAGCUAGCUCAGUGCUGGAGGGGAGAGUAGACUCUGGAUGGCGUAUGAGGCACAAGGUGCAGGUCAUCCUGAAAAACCCCGGGCAUCCUCUCCAUGUAAUUCUGGAGAGUCAAAAGAGUACUCGGAACAACAACCGGCUCCUCUCCCUGCCCUGUAGAAUGGAGCAGUUCAGGAGAUCCUUCACCACUGCAGCCAUUAGAUUUUAUAAUUCGGACCGCCAGUCUACGAUUUCAAGCCCGCGUCCAUUGACACUGCAUGCGAAGGAGAUCUUGAAGUGGGCAAAGGGGAACAAAUCACAAUCACCUUACCAAAUAUACAGG